CCUCUAAUGGUGUAAUUGGAAGCAUACUCGACUCGGAUUCGAGAGGUCCAGGGUUCAAGCCCCGGCGAGGGCA
rnacentral:tRNA from 1 species